AUGGACUGGUGGCUGCGUGCGAAGGAGUCCACGCCGCCAACACUACGCAAGGCUCUGAAAUCCGUAGCUCUCUUAGUACCAUGGAUGCUCUGGAAGCAUAGGAACGCGUGCGUGUUUGACCAUGUUAGCCCAUCGCUCAAUGAGUUAGUCGACAAGAUCAAGGACGAGGCCCGAUGUUGGGCAAAGGCCGGAGCUCAAGGGCUCAGGGUCGUUUUGCCAUCAUCCUGGGACGUCCACUGA
rnacentral:rRNA from 1 species